rnacentral:rRNA from 1 species
GACGAAGGUGGCGAGCGUUGUUCGGAAUCACUGGGCAUAAAGCGCACGUAGGCGGCGACGUAAGUUGGGUGUGAAAUCCCUCGGCCCAACCGAGGAACUGCGCCCAGUACUGCGUUGCUUGAGGAUCCAAGGGGUGCAUGGAAUUCCCGGUGGAGCGGUGAAAUGCGUUGAUAUCGGGAGGAACACCAGUGGCGAAGGCGAUCACCUGGGGUUGUUCUGACGCUGAGGAGCGAAAGCUAGGGGAGCAAACGGG